UACGUAGGGUGCAAGCGUUGUCCGGAAUUAUUGGGCGUAAAGAGCUCGUAGGCGGUCUGUCGCGUCGGCUGUGAAAUCCCGGAGCUCAACUCCGGGUCUGCAGUCGAUACGGGCAAACUGGAGUACUGCAGGGGAGACUGGAAUUCCUGGUGUAGCGGUGAAAUGCGCAGAUAUCAGGAGGAACACCGGUGGCGAAGGCGGCUCACUGGCCCGGUACUGACGCUGAGGUGCGAAAGCGUGGGGAGCAAACAGG
rnacentral:rRNA from 1 species